CUAGUCAACAGUUACUGAGGUUUCUUCUCUUUCAAAGCAAAGAUGCUGUGGACUCUGCUGUUCUUCUGUUUGAUUGGGACGUCUGCUCAGAACCAAGGAGCUAGCUGCACAACAGGAAAACUGAUAGAGGGAGGAAAAACAACUCAGUCUUCAACCUUCAAAACUCU